rnacentral:lncRNA from 1 species
GCCGCUCGACCGGCCGCGAGGGAGAAGGGAGAGCCGGCUGGACAGCAGCGCUGCUGUGGUGGAAACGUCGCCUAAGUGGCUGACCACCACAUGCAGAGGGAGAGAUGACGGAGAAGGGCUGGGCCGGGAGAGGAAGCGCCGGUGGUUGGCGGUGGCACGGCUGGAGGCCAGGCGCGCUGCCUGCUGCGUAGACGGCAGCAGCGGCGGCGGUCUUCCUCGGCCGUCCG